UUUUAACGGUAGGUGGAGCUACUGUCUUGAAGAAGGCAGCUUAUCCACAAAACAAGGAUAAUCAAAGAAAAUCUUGCCAGGAUUGACUAAAAAUGGCAGAACCAAAGAAACGCAAGAUAGCAAUGAUGAAAGAGUAUAAUGUACGCAGACACUGUGAAACCAAACAUCUGACCUACACUGGUGUCGAGCGACAAGAGAAAGGAAUAAUGUCCCCAGAAAAGAUGCAGGAAGUCAACAUGUGAGAAUGUCCAGAAACACAGUUGUGUAGAGUUGUGUAAAUGGAACAAGCUGUGUGGAGUUACAAUGGAUGGGGCUCCAGCUAUGACACGCGAGUGCAAAGGAAUGGCCUCUAGUGUUAAAAUGCACUGUAUCAUCCACCAAGAAGCCCUCUGUGCAAAGACAGUCCAGCUUGAGGAUGUGAUGAACACUGUUGUGAAAACUGUCAAUGUAAUUCGAGCACGAGGGCUGUACCACAGAGAAUUUCAAGCUUUUCUGUCUGAUGUUGAUGCUGAAUACGGGGACCUAUUGUUGUUGUUUUUUAACUCACCUAUAGUGGGAAUAUUUUUGCAGCAACACUGUUCCCACUAUAGGGAAGUUUAAAAAAUAUUACACAGUGUUCAUGCAUUAAUAAGCUUAAUUAUAUAAUAAAUUCAGUCAAUUGAAGGUUUCUAACAUUAACAUUUUAUAACAAACAUUGAUGUUAACAAGCCCUAUAACUUAUUUGUAUAAUAAGCUUAAAUAUAGCCAUCCCCCUUUCCCUCUAAUUUUUACCACUUUAUACAGGGCUGUGAAGGGGGAUCACCAUCCUGACUAAGAAGCAAUCUGAGGUUGCUGUUUUGAGAAUGAACUGCCAACCCUUUUUGUAACAAAAAUAUGAAAACCCAUUAAUGGAAUGUUGUGAUGUAGACUGUUUUUUCUUCUUCAAGCAUAUUCAGUUAGCAAGCAUAAUUUACCUACAUUUGAUUGAUAUUGCUAACUUUAAUACACUAGAGGUGAGGCGAUAUACUUCACCUCUAGUGAGUGGCC